rnacentral:rRNA from 1 species
GUAGGUGGCAAGCGUUGUCCGGAAUUAUUGGGCGUAAAGCGCGCGCAGGCGGUCCUUUAAGUCUGAUGUGAAAGCCCACGGCUCAACCGUGGAGGGUCAUUGGAAACUGGGGGACUUGAGUACAGAAGAGGAAAGCGGAAUUCCAAGUGUAGCGGUGAAAUGCGUAGAGAUUUGGAGGAACACCAGUGGCGAAGGCGGCUUUCUGGUCUGUAACUGACGUUGAGGCGCGAAAGCGUGGGGAGCAAACAGGAUUAGAUACCCUGGUAGUCCACGCCGUAAACGAUGAGUGCUAAGUGUUAGGGGGUUUCCGCCCCUUAGUGCUGCAGCUAACGCAUUAAGCACUCCGCCUGGGGAGUACGGCCGCAAGGCUG